AUCAACUUAUGGAGACCCCAGGUGCAUAUAUGCCUUCUGAAAUACAAUAAGACGGAACUGGAUUUCCACAGAAAAGAUAGUAAUAUUGACUCACAGAAACAAACAGAAUCCAGAUGACAAAUGACCCUGAUUUAUUGAUCACGCUCGACGUAUAUGGAACAGAGUAACUGUGAACGCAUGAACUUAUAUACAAUUAAAUAGUAAACAGGAAAUUAUGCAAUAGUAGCUUG